GGCUUAGGACGAACGCUGGCGGCGUGCCUAAUACAUGCAAGUCGAGCGAAUGACGAGGAGCUUGCUCCUCUGAUUUAGCGGCGGACGGGUGAGUAACACGUGGGCAACCUGCCCUGUAGACUGGGAUAACUUCGGGAAACCGGAGCUAAUACCGGAUAAUACAUUUCACCUCAUGGUGAAAUGUUGAAAGGCGCUUCGGCGUCACUACAGGAUGGGCCCGCGGUGCAUUAGCUAGUUGGUGGGGUAACGGCCAACCAAGGCAACGAUGCAUAGCCGACCUGAGAGGGUGAUCGGCCACAUUGGGACUGAGACACGGCCCCAACUCCUACGGGAGGCAGCAGUAGGGAAUCUUCCACAAUGGACGAAAGUCUGAUGGAGCAACGCCGCGUGAGUGAUGAAGGUUUUCGGAUCGUAAAACUCUGUUGUAAGGGAAGAACAAGUACGUUAGGAAAUGAACGUACCUUGACGGUGCCUUAUUAGAAAGCCACGGCUAACUACGUGCCAGCCGCUGC
rnacentral:rRNA from 1 species